UACGUAGGGGGCAAGCGUUGUCCGGAAUGAUUGGGCGUAAAGCGUCCGCAGGUGGCUGUGUAAGUCUGCUGUUAAAGAGUCUAGCUCAACUAGAUGCAAGCAGUGGAAACUACACGGCUAGAGUACGUUCGGGGCAGAGGGAAUUCCUGGUGUAGCGGUGAAAUGCGUAGAGAUCAGGAAGAACACCGGUGGCGAAGGCGCUCUGCUAGGCCGUAACUGACACUGAGGGACGAAAGCUAGGGGAGCGAAUGGG
rnacentral:rRNA from 1 species